GAGACUUGAGCUACUCCAUUGCCUGCAUUCCAACGUACAGUACGAGGGAAUCGAUUAAUGGCGCAUUGGAGCAACUUUGUUCAUAACAGCAAGUUUGCGAACUUGCUCAAUUUCUGAAUCAACCAUGUGAUGCAUAUUAAGAUCACUCGGUAUUGGUGACUUCAUUUCAAAUGAGCAAGUUUGCGAACUUGCUCAAUUUCUGAAUCAACCAUGUGAUGCAUAUUAAGAUCACUCGGUAUUGGUGACUUCAUUUCAAAUGCAUCGACGUUUCCGGCAAGACAUUCUUCUGUUUGUUCUUCAGCAGCAUGCAAAGUUUUGGUAACUUUUCACUCUCAAGUAGUUUCCAAUGAGCAAGUCGCGGUCUCAGCAUCCCAUAUACUUCAAUUGCUUUUGAAUUCCAUUCGUCUCCACCUCCUUAAGUACAAAAACAAACAACAUAAUACGGAUCCCGGAAUAGCACAAAAGCACUCCAAGCCAUCGGUUUAAAUUGCUGCUAAGUGUUUGAGCUGCUAAGGUUGUCGGUAAAGUGCUUCCUACCUUGAAUGGAAAAUUUACCGGUAUGUCAUUCAUUGUCUCAACUGUGGAUGUCUCAGCCGUCGGCCUUACAGUGAGGCUCGAGAAGACCAACCUCAAUCCACGCCGAAG
rnacentral:lncRNA from 1 species